rnacentral:lncRNA from 1 species
UCAGUCUGCUGCUGGAUUCAGCCUUUUCUGUAAAAAUACCCCUCGAGUUACCAAGCACCUCAGCACAAAUCCUCUUUUCCACUUACUUUUCUUUGUAGGAAAACGCUUCAGGACAGCUCAGAAUUUGAGCCCUGAGAUAAUGCACUCCUGAUAUCACCGAGAUGGGAGAGACAAGCGAGGAGCAAGAGAUCAAAGCAAGGAGAAGAAAGAGAAGAUGCUAAAGGCAGGAGAAGAAAGAGGGGAAGAUGCCAAACACCUCCUUGAUGUACCUACUUUACAUACCCGGUACCGAGUUUCAGAAACCCUUCCUGUAGUUUGAGAUCCCUUUCCUGCAGUGUUUAUAAGGAAAUCUUGAAACCUAAGAAUAGCCAAGGAUAACAACACUGAAUAUGGAGAUGGAGGAAACGUGAACACAACAGCAGCUGUCCUUUGAAAUGGGAUGUGUAAGAUAAAGGCAAAUGCAACAUUAAUGCAGCAUUCCUGCCAGAAAACCAGCAGUCACUCCUGCAUUUCAUUUCCCUGGUUUAUUUAAAAAUACUUUUGGAAGCACUGCUGUUGGUGAAUGCUUUCUUUGAUUGAAUUUCUUAUUCCCUUGCACUGGUUUAUCCCCAAGAGAAGGAAUUGUGGACCUGGAACUCCUCUAACCCACUGUGGCUAUAAAUAAUUCCAGAUACCCCUUGAUUUGCUCCAGAAAUGAAGCGUGUUUGUGCUUUGAGU